UGCCACAGCCAUAUCACCCUGUAGUCCAAGAGCAGCUACUCACUGAAGCUAAGCAGGGCUGAUCCUGGUUAGUACCUAGAUGGGAGACCAGUAGGGAACACUAGGUUGCUGUUGGAA
ensembl:rRNA 5S_rRNA 5S ribosomal RNA